rnacentral:rRNA from 1 species
UACGUAGGGGGCAAGCGUUGUCCGGAAUCAUUGGGCGUAAAGAGCGUGUAGGCGGUCCGAUAAGUCGGCUGUGAAAGUCCAGGGCUCAACCCUGGAAAGCCGGUGGAUACUGUCGGGCUAGAGUCCGGAAGAGGCGAGUGGAAUUCCUGGUGUAGCGGUGGAAUGCGCAGAUAUCAGGAGGAACACCGAUGGCGAAGGCAGCUCGCUGGGACGGUACUGACGCUGAGGCGCGAAAGCGUGGGGAGCGAACAGG